rnacentral:lncRNA from 1 species
AAAAGAAAAACAAACCAAAAACAAAAGGACCAAGCAAAAAAAAAAGUGAACCAAACAAUAGAUUAAAAAAUUGGGACUAAUAAAGUUGGAAUAAAAUUUCACCAAGUGAAUAAGUGAGAAUAAACUCCAAGAAAACGAGAGAUGAGUAAGUAGAUAUGCUAUUUGGAACCUUAAAUUGCAUAGAACGUAGUAAGCAAAAUAUGCUAUUUGAUACAUAAUUUUCAAAAAAUGAGAACACGUGGAACAAAUAGUCAAAGCCACCAUAUAUGAAUCAUAUUCUAUAAUC